rnacentral:tRNA from 1 species
GGGAGCGAAUGGGAUCUGGUGGUCCCCGAGGACUUCAAAUCCUUUUGCCGGGCGCCUCUGGCGUCCGGGGUGGGUUCGAUUCCCACGCGUUCCCGCCA